rnacentral:misc_RNA from 1 species
ACAUCGCGUCGCCACACCUCGACUCUCCUCCGCUCUCCCAUCUGACCCCCCUCCUGCCUACCGCCCCCUCUCUCCUCGUCCGCUGUGCUGCGUCGUCUGCCUUCCACCCCUUCCGUGGCCUCUCCCGUCUUCCUCGGCGCCGCCCUUCGCACUCUCUCGCUCUUGUGUGUUUUCGCCCAUGACGCCGAGUAUACCAGUCAUUGUCUACGUGGUCCUGCAGUUCGUGGCGUUCUUCUUCGUGCUGGUGGGAACGCCGAUUGACAUGUUCCGCAGCAGCAACAGCAGUGUUUUCGUUGGCCAGUGCAUCACUCUAUGGGGUUUUAAACGUGACUGUCUCUCUUUGAACUACGUUCGCACAACCGAUAUGUCUUUUGAAAAGUGCCCAUCACGCAUCACCCGAUUCCGCCUUGCGCAGGGAUGCGCCAUCAUCUCCAUCCUAGUGUACGGCGGAGCGUUCAUGCUGGGCUUUAUUUUGCUGUUCUGCUGCUCUUUGCUCCGGUGGGUCUGCCUGGUACUCAACGUGGUCGGCAUGGUCACCUCGUGCAUUGUGUGGGCGGCCAUGGCAGUGACAUACAACAAGACUGACGACAGAGUGUGCCUGCCGGUAAAAACACUGGGAAGAUAUGGUGCCGGCUUCGUGCUCUUUGUGCUGGCCUGGAUACUGGAUGUCAUCAACAUCAUCCUGUUGCUCCUUCCCUAUGACGGCGUGGACGCUGGAGCGAAUCGAAAGGCAGAGCUGCCGACCGCGCAGGAGUAGAAUGGAGGCACCAAGAGGCAACGGGGGGGGGCUUGACAGCGGCGCGGCCCCUCCCCCACACUGGCGUCCUCGUGGUGGAGCCGGUGUCGGCGAGGAUGUGGGUGCGCAAGCUGCGGGUUCCCGUGUGUGCCCUUCGCCGGCCCAGCCCUCUCGCUGCCCUGUCCUUCGUGCAUGCGUGUGCGGCACGCCGUGCACCGGGACAGCUGCCGAGGGGUGGUUGCGGCACUUCCUCCAGGAGUGCUGAUGGCACACGGCGCCUGUAUGCGUGUGUGUCUGUGUGCAGGCGCCCCCUGCGACCCUCCUCCCUCUUCUUCCGUGAGCGGCCCCCGCGACCGCGCCCCUCCCUCGCCUACGCUGCCGUUGCUCGCGCGUCUCUGUUUUCGUGCGUUAUUCGCGGGUGCCGCCGCACGCUCUCGCGCUCCUUGAUGCUCGUUUCUCUUUCGGGUUCUGCGAUGCUUGCUGUUCUCUCCUCCGCGCAG